rnacentral:lncRNA from 1 species
UGGCCCAUUGCCAUUAUUGUUUGGUGCCAUCAAUUGUGCAAAAGGUUUCAUCAGCUCAGCUAAUGGUGGUGGUGCUGCAUCAAGUAUUUCAUGAGAAAGUUUUGCAAGGGCAUCAGGUAUUGGCUCUGGGAUAGACUUGAUUGCUUCACCAAUAGCUGAUUUUAUAUGGGCCAGACUAUCUUCCUGAACAGGCUUCAAACCUUCAAUAGCUGACAUUAACUGGGAUAGUGGAUCCUGAGCAGCGGAUUUCACUGGUGCAGAAGUAUCUUUUUUUUCAGUUGGUUGAUUUUUCUUCAGUUGAACAGUAAUCCUGAGAGGGUUUAAUCUCUGACGGAGAGCUGCAUCACGCAAGUCAUCAUCAUCAUCUAGCAUGACAAUAUCACCAUCCUCAUCGGUGUAAGUCAGAACAAAGUCAACGUCAGGACCAAACUUAAAGGCAGUAUCAAUCCUCGCCCGUAGAGCAGAUAAAUUCAUGUCAAAAUGACUCCCAUUGGCACAACCAUAAAACCUUUUAAGUGUAUCACCAUAUUUGACCUGAAAUAUCAAAGAGGAAAAAUCUGAUAAGUAUACAUAGGACUGGGAAGUAGUGUGCAACACUAUUCGAUCUUAUUAUUUUGAAACAAUUACAUGGCCGAAAUUUCAUAUAGUCAAACAAAAGAAAAGAAACAAGUGCUACAAAUUGUUACUUUGUACUGGACAACACUUAAGAUCCCCUUCUGCCUAAACCUUUCUUAAAAUCUAUCAUUUCUGGGGCCACAAAAUGCCCACAGAGGAACUACACCAACACAUACUGCAAACACACUAAUUGGACGAUGAACGCAACCAUAUUCCAGACCAAAACAUCAAACUUAUAAGAAAGUAAACAGAUCUCGUUCAGAAUAAUACAGGACGUUAACUUGCCCAAAAGAUGUCCUUUUCUUGCUAUUUUUAGAGCCCAAAGAGGGGAUCUCGUCUAUAACAAUACCCUAAGCGCUAAAAGAUAGAUCCUCACGAUUUUAACUAUAAUGCCACAGAAAAGGAUCCAAAUCAUGGUCUCACACUACCAUAGUCUUCACGUUUAAACCAUAUACAGACCAAAAUACGUGUUCACCAAAGCACAUAGGGAUUGGUAGUAGCAAUGAAAAUCUACUCCCCGAGACGAAACGGGCCUACACAGACAAACAAAUCGCAAAACCCUAUAACCACACCAAGAGUGCGGACAACCCCUCUUUCCGUCGAUCAAACCCCGAAUCCGCACUACUACUACGUCCGAUUGACGGUUCAACACGGGAAGCCCAACCCCCGGUCCCCCCCGAAGCGAUCAAACCCUACAACUAAACUAACGCGAUUUACCGCACCUCACGCCACUACCGAGUGCCGUCCCCAUAUCGCGAAGGAGUGUAGUAAAGAAAGAAAGAAAAAUCGAUCGGAUGCCUCACCUUGAAGGUGACGUCCCACCCCUCGGCCUGCGGGCCAAAAGGGAAGAACGUCGGCGCAGCCGGCGAGCUCCAGUCAGACAUCUCGGCGGGGUCCCCGCGGGAGCCGGGAGGACGAAGCGGCGAUCGGGCCGAACCCUAGCGGAGUCAGUCGGCGAUCGAUUCGGGCGAAACUCUAUGUGCUAGUAGCAAAAAGAGGAGGGCACGGGGGGGUCGGGAGAGCGGGCUGCGUAGCCGUGAGCCGCAGCGGUGGUGGUGGUGCGCGGCGAGUGUCGAUGCGGCCAACGCCGGGACCGAGGAGCCCCACUUUAUCACGCCUCGUUUGCUUCCACGCGAAGGGAUGCCUCUGCCUCUCUAGGCGGUGCGGCUGGAGAGUGGGACCCGCACGUCAGGGGCUGAACCACCGCUGGCUUUCGCCGGGUCCAUGGGCCUGUCCGUGAAUUUCGAAUCUGCUGGUGUGGAUAAGGUCGUGGAAUAGAAAACUGCGGUUAAAAAUCCUUGAUCCUGUAUCUUCUUUGGGCGCAAGUCGGGGAUCUUCUCGCCCGCUGGACCGCGUCCGCGUGCGUUGCCUACGACCCACUGGUGAGUGGGGCCUCUUGUUUUCUUUUUGUCACCUGUAUCUUGUUGGUAGUUGUCGGCUUGCCGUGCCCAUGAAGAAGCUCAUUUAUUAUUUGGCUGGUUGAUGUGUGUCGUUUUGUCACCUGUAUGUGCUGUACUGUUUGUAGAGUACGAGAGCCUCUUCUUAGCGUGCAAGCUCCAAGCUAUGCUUGGGCCAAGGAAUUGACCUCGCCUCCAGGUCGCCGUCGUGGACAGCAACGAUGAAAGUUAGGCCCAGAUGUGUGAUUGUGUGAAUAUCAUUUGAUGGGUAAAGGCACCAAAAAUUGGGACCAAUAUGGUUAAGGGGAUGUUUGGUUUUCCUGACUAACAUCAAGUCUGGAUCAUAUCGGAUGUUUAAAUGUCAAUUACUAAAAUUAAAUAUAGUCUAACUACAAAAGUAAUUAUAUAGAUAAAGACUAAACGACGAGAUGGAUCUAUUAAGUCUAAUUAAUCUAUUAUUAGCAAAUAUUUAUUUUACAUGGACGAACCAUGGACUACUUAAACUUAAUAGGUUCGUCUUGCUGUUUAGUCCUCAUCUAUAUAAUUAGUUUUAUACUUAGACUAUAUUUAAUACUUCUAACUAGUAUCUAAAUAUCCGACUAGCAAAGUGUGCAUACAUUGCUACGCUUUCUAUUUAUGCUUAAGUAUAGAACUAGUUAGUUACUCGUACAUUGUUAUGAAUUCUAUAUAUCAUAUAUGUAAUUUUUUAUUUAAAUGAGAUUUUUAUUCAAUCAUGAUUUUAAUUUUAAUUUUCAAAUUGUUACUAUAUACAUUUAUAUACUCUAUAUAACAAUAAGCGACACAUGGUGCAAUGGUUAAGGCUAAAGCUUUGGUCCUUAGGUUGGCUACAGUGUCGUCCACUCGCCACCCCGCCUCCCCUACUCAUGUGGAUGUUUAUAGAUAGGGAUGAAAACGAUCGGAAACAGUUGGAAAAACUCUCUCCCACUUCCAUUACCAUAUUUUUUUUACUGAAAAACGAGGGCGGGAGCGGUAUAGCCGGAAACAGAAACGGUUGUGGAUAUACGAUUAAAUGAAAACGGAUUAAAACGAAUGGAUAUGCAACAAAAACGGACGGUAACUUUGUCCAGCAUAUGCAAUAUUAUACAAUCACUCAACAAACUACAAUAUUAAGAGUUUAGGACACUAUAAAACACAACUUUUACAAAUUUAAAAGUUGGCACGAAAACAUAUAUUUUUUAAAAGAUCAACAGCUUGCGCAAGGCAACACUUUUUUGUAAACAUUCUUCAAUCAUAAACCCAAACUUGUGAAUACAUAAGAUAAGAAUGAUUACCCUAUACAGUUGUAAGAUGCUAACAUGACAACAUCAAAGAUUAUGCAAGCAUGCCAUAGAAAGUAGGGCUAAUACUGUGGGGGACAGAUAUCCCCCGGGUCCACUAGAAGGAUAAAAGACCUCACGAAAGGCCCAAGGGCCCCAUAAUUCGUAAGAUCAUUCCCUCGUGGGCCUGGGAGGAACAACCAGUGGAACGGAUUAGCACAAGGUCGGGUCGGCGCAAGCCCAGACGACCCAACAAGUUCGAGCAGUAAUCGCAACAGUGACCCGACCUUCCCGCGCAGGGGCCCCGUACAUCGGAACUAAGCGAGGAUGAGUCGGCUGAACUAUAGGAAGAUAGACUCAGUUAGUUCGCUAUUACUUUGGCACACGUUGUUGUCAUAUCCACAUGUAAUGCCCCAUGGCCGAGUAUAUAAGGCCUAGGGGGCACCCCUUCAUGAUGAUCGACAUCAUUCAUUACUUAGCCAUCCACCCCGCUCUCUACGUUCUCCAGCACUAGAGAUCUCCCUUGUAAUCCAUCGCAUAAAGCACUCCCGCCAGGACGUAGGGUGUUACGCAUCUCAAAGCGGCCCGAAUCUGUACAUCAUUGUCCACUAUUUCUCGUGCGCCCGGCACGAACCAUCGAGCUACAGUCGGUAACACCGUCCUACUCCUAAAAGCACCUCGAGGGGUAACCCUGGGUGCGUGGUCGGACCCGAAACACCGACAGCUGGCGCGCCAGGUAGGGGUUGUGUCAUCGAUCCAAGCUAGCUCAAUGGUCGUCACCUUCCAGCACAAGAUCAUCCUUCGCCCCGGAUCCAUAUUCUACUUCGGUACUAUCUCAUCUGUAGCGAAUGAGGAGGGAACUCUGCAUCGCCUCGCGGAUCCGCCAGAGAGGAAGCCUUCCUCAGAAAUCUUCGAGAAAAUCGGGGCGAGGCAGGGAAAAGCGCAACCUCCAGCGCUCCUAAAAAAGAUUACCUCCAGCAAGCUAGGAGCUGAGGGUCCUUCAGCCCGGAGAACUCCGCUGUCCACCUCUCCGACGAGAGAAUGGACACGGAUCACAAGGAAAAAGGAAGCAAAGGAUCAUCUAGCUGAUCUUUCUGUGCCUCCACCCUCAAAGGAGAACAGAAAGAAGAUCGCCAUAACAGCUACUCCAUUCUACCCCGACGUCCUCUUCAUCAGGAGAGUGGAGUCGCCCCCCAUAUCCGACGACGAGCCGACUGCACCCGGAGAGGAACCUCCUCAGCAGGAAUCCCACCGAUGAAGGAACCGACACCGAAAUAUCCGGCGACAUCACGAGGCCGAAGAGCGGGACCCGGCGCAACCUGUAUCGCGAGACGAGGUCUCAGAGAUAGGAGAAACUCCGGAGGAACGUGUCUUCAGGGAACGAAGGAAUUCCCGACGACGCGAUCGUCGACGGGCUCAAGAACAGGUCGAGCAGGAGACAAGGCAACAUCGGGAAAAUCCACUCUUCGGGCGCAACCUGAACCCCGACUUCGCCCGAGCCAUGAACACGCCGAAUGAAGUCGGAGGGGUGUUGGCUCGGAUAGCUGAUGGCCUCCCUCGGACUCCCGACGCCGAGGGCUAUCGACGGUUGUUCACCCAAGCAGCCAAUCACCUUCUACCCCUCGCUCACCCGCCGAACGAUCUACGACACGCCAUCAACAGUCAUCGGGACGCGCGAAGCUCCAUCAAUGCUUCGCGUGAACGACGACACGAGAACGAGAUCCGUCGCCGGGAAGAGUACGACCGGGACCAUGGCAUCCCAGCACGGAGUCAGGCUACCAGGACCGAGUCGGCCACAGCUUCAACUGGAGGCACCACUCGGGGACGGUCGAGGCACCAUGACGACCACUCCCCUCCCCGGGAUAGACAACAUCAUCGACGACGGGAGGACACAUGUGAGUAUCGGCACUUACUCUGCGCCUCAGGGCCAUUCAAUGGCCCCCUAACUUCAAGGUAUCCAACGUUGACAAAUAUGAACCUAAGCAGGAUCCGGGAGGCUGGCUGGCCGUCUACACCACCGCUGCUCGAGCUGCUGGGGCAACCGAGGACGUAAUGACCGCGUACUUGCCUAUCGUCCUCGGGCAAGACGCGCUGCAAUGGCUACGACACCUACCCCGACACUGCAUCGACGACUGGAGCGACUUCAGUCGGCGCUUCACCGCCAACUUUCAGUCUCUCUCCGAUAAACCGACGCAACCAUGGGACCUCAAAUCCAUCAAGCGUCGAGGGGACGAAACUCUCCGGUCAUACCUCAAAAAGUUCCAGACCAUGAGAAAUCGUAUCCCCGAGGUCGCGGAGGCGGCAGUGAUCGAGGACUUCUACAGGGGAUCCAAUGACUCGACCUUCGUCCGAACCAUAUUACAGAAGGCGCCGACUACCUCCGAGCAACUGUUCCGGGAAGCCGACCUCUACAUCACCGCCGACGAGCGAGCUCAGGACCUCAUCGGAGGAAUGAAGCCAGCACCAGCGGCACUACGACGUGACACGAACCAGCAGCCCGACAAGCGUUGGGAGAAGAGGCCUCGCGAAGAAGUCCACGCCGCCGGACCACCUGCCUCUCGCGCCCGAGGAGGACCUCGUGGAGGCGAAUGCACGCUGGACGACAUCCUCGACGCCCGGUGCCCGUACCACAAGGACAUGCGCCACACCCUUCGGAACUGCAGAGACUUCAAGCACUCCGUCGGGCACGGCCGACCCUUCCAACCUCUGCCUCCUUCUCCGCCGCGAGGAGGACCAGGAGAACCGCGACAACCCCAGCAGGAGGAGGAGGGAGAAGGUGGAUCCUUCCCGCGCGUUGACAGAGAGGUCAAUGUCAUCUUCGGCGGACACGGGUCGCAGGAGAACAAGAGACAACAAAAGCUCAACGAUCGUCAGAUACUGGUGGCGGCUACCGGUCCACCCGCCCCAUACCGAUGGUCAGAGCAUCCGAUCACCUUCACCCGGGCAGACCAGUGGCUCAACUUCGACCACCCAGGCAAAUACUCGCUCCUCGUCGAUCCGGUGAUCCGAGAGAGCAGGGUAAAGAAGGUAUUAGUGGACGGGGGGAGCAGCAUCAACGUCACUGAAAGGGAAUUAGGCUUACACCUAGUUCCUAAAUAAUUUUGGUGGUUGAAUUGCCCAACAGAAAUAAUUGGACUAACUAGUUUGUUCUAGUAUAUAAGUUAUACAGGUGCUAAAGGUUCACACUUAGCCAAUAAAAAGACCAAGAGUUGGGUUCAACAAAAGAGCAAAGGGCCAACCGAAGGCACCUCUGGUCUGGCACACCGGACUGUCCGGUGCACCAGAGGACUCCAACUGGAACUCGCCACCUUCGGGAAUUUCCAGAGGCACUCGCGCUAUAAUUCACCGGACUGUCCGGUGUACACCGGACAGUGUCCGGUGCGCCAAGGAAGAACGGCCUCAGGAACUCGCCAGCUUCGGGAUUCUCCAACGGCUAGUCCGCUAUAAUUCACCGGACAUGUCCGGUGUACACCGGACUGUCCGGUGAACCAGCAGAGCAACGGAUACUUCACGCCAACGGUCACCUGCAGGCGCAUUCAAUGCGCACCAGAAGCGCGCAGAAGUCAGACACGCCCAUACUGGUGCACCGGACAGUGAACAGUUCAUGUCCGGUGCGCCACCGGACAUCAAGGCGGGCCCAGAAGUCAGAACUCCAACGGUCAGAUUCCAACGGCACUGGUGACGUGGCUGGAGCACCGGACAUGUCCGGUGCGCCAUCGAACAGACAGCCUCCACCAACGGUCAUGUUUGGUGGUUGGGGCUAUAAAUACCCCAACCACCCCACCAUUCAUUGCAUCCAAGUUUUCCACUUCUCAACCACUUACAAGAGCUAGGCAUUCAAUUCUAGACACACCAAAGAGAUCAAAUCCUCUCCAAUUCCACAAAAGGCUUUAGUGAUUAGUGAGAGAGAUUUGCCAUGUUCUUUUGAGCUCUUGCGCUUGGAUUGCUUCUUUUCUUUCUCACUUGCUCUUGUGAUCAACACUCAAUUGUAAUCAAGGCAAGAGGCACCAAUUGUGUGGUGGCCCUUGCGGGGAAGUUUUGUUCCCGGCUUUGAUUUGAGAAGAGAAACUCACUCGGUCCAAGGGACCGUUUGAGAGAGGGAAGGGUUGAAAGAGACCCGGCCUUUGUGGCCUCCUCAACGGGGAGUAGGUUUGAGAGAACCGAACCUCGGUAAAACAAAUCCGCGUGUCUCACUUGAUUAUUCGCUUGCGAUUUGUUUUCACGCCCUCUCUCGGACUCGUUUAUAUUUCUAACGCUAACCUGGCUUGUAGUUGUGUUUAUAUUUGUAAAUUUCAGUUCCGCCCUAUUCACCCCCCCUCUAGGCGACUAUCAAUUGGUAUCAGAGCCCGGUGCUUCAUUAGAGCCUAACCGCUCGAAGUGAUGUCGGGAGAUCACGCCAAGAAGGAGAUGGAGACCGGCGAAAAGCCCACUACAAGCCACGGGAGCACUUCAUCGGAAGAGUCCCGCACCAAGAGGAAGGAGAAGAAGAAGAGCUCCUCCAACAAAGGGAAGGAGAAGAAAUCCUCUUCUCACCACAAAGAGAAGAAGGAGAGAUCUUCCUCUCACAAGCCGCAUCGGAGUGGGGACAAGCACAUGAGGAUGAGAAAAGUGGUCUACUACGAGACCGACACUUCAUCAACAUCGACCUCCGGCUCCGAUGCGCCCUCCGUAACUUCUAAACGCCAAGAGCGUAAGAAGUUUAGUAAGAUCCCUUUACACUAUCCUCGUACAUCUAGACAUACUCCAUUACUUUCCGUUCCAUUAGGCAAACCGCCAACCUUUGACGGUGAAGAUUAUGCUAGGUGGAGUGAUUUAAUGAAAUUUCAUCUAACCUCACUUCACAAAAGUAUAUGGAAUGUUGUUGAGUUUGGAGCACAGGUACCAUCCGUAGGGGAUGAGGAUUAUGAUGAGGAUGAGGUGGCCCAAAUCGAGCACUUCAACUCUCAAGCAACAACAAUACUCCUCGCCUCUCUAAGUAGAGAGGAGUAUAACAAAGUACAAGGGUUGAAAAGUGCCAAGGAGGUUUGGGAUGUGCUCAAAACCGCGCACGAGGGAGACGAGCUCACCAAGAUCACCAAGCGGGAAACGAUCGAGGGGGAGCUCGGUCGAUUCCGGCUUCGCAAAGGGGAGGAGCCACAACACAUGUACAACCGGCUCAAGACCUUGAUAAAUCAAGUGCGCAACCUCGGGAGCGUAAAGUGGGAUGACCACGAGGUGGUUAAGGUUAUUCUAAGAUCUCUUAUUUUCCUUAACCCCACUCAAGUUCAAUUAAUUCGUGGUAAUCCUAGAUAUACUAAAAUGACCCCCGAGGAAGUUAUCGGGAAUUUUGUAAGUUUUGAGUGCAUGAUCGAAGGAUCGAGGAAGAUCAACGAGCUUGAUGAUUCCUCCACGUCGGAAGCUCAACCCGUCGCAUUCAAGGCGACAGAAGAAAAGAAGGAGGAGUCUACACCAAGUCGACAACCAAUCGACGCCUCCAAGCUUGACAAUGAGGAAAUGGCGCUCGUUAUCAAGAGCUUCCGCCAAAUCCUCAAACAAAGGAGGGGGAAAGACUACAAGUCCCGCUCCAAGAAGGUUUGCUACAAAUGUGGUAAGCCCGGUCACUUUAUUGCUAAAUGUCCAUUAUCUAGUGACAGUGACAGGGGCGACAACAAGAAGGGAAGAAGAAAGGAGAAGAAGAGGUACUACAAGAAGAAGGGCGGUGAUGCCCAUGUUUGUCGGGAGUGGGACUCCGACGAAAGCUCUAGCGACUCCUCCGACGACGAGGACGCCGCCAACAUCGCCGUCACCAAAGGACUUCUCUUCCCCAAUGUCGGCCACAAGUGCCUCAUGGCAAAGGAUGGCAAACGGAAGAAGGUUAAAUCUAACUCCUCCACUAAAUAUGAGUCUUCCAGUGAUGAUAAUGCUAGUGAUGAGGAGGAUAAUUUGCGUAUCCUCUUUGCCAAUCUUAACAUAGAGCAAAAAGAAAAAUUAAAUGAAUUGAUUAGUGCUAUUCAUGAAAAAGAUGACCUUUUGGAUUCCCAAGAGGAUUUUCUAAUUAAAGAAAACAAGAAACAUGUUAAGGUUAAAAAUGCUUAUGCUCUAGAAGUAGAAAAAUGUCAAAAACUAUCUAGUGAGCUAAGCACUUGCCGUGAGAUGAUUGACAACCUUAGGAAUGAAAAUGCUAGUUUAAAUGCUAAGGUUGAUUCACAUGUUUGUAAUGUUUCAAUUCCCAAUCCUAAAGAUAAUAAUGAUGAUUUGCUUGCUAGGAUUGAAGAAUUAAACAUUUCUCUUGCUAGCCUUAGGAGUGAAAAUGAGAAAUUAAUUACUAAGGCAAAAGAUUUUGAUGUUUGCAAAGUUACAAUUUCCGAUCUUAGAGAUAAGAAUGAUAUACUACAUGCUAAGAUCGUUGAACUUAAUUCUUGCAAACCCUCUACAUCUACCAUUGAGCAUGUCACUAUUUGUACUAGAUGUAGAGAUAUUGAUGUUGAUGCUAUUCUUGAUCACAUGAUUUUAAUUAAGCAACAAAAUGAUCAUAUAGCUAAACUAGAUGCUAAAAUUGCCGAGCACAACUUAGAAAAUGAGAAAUUUAAAUUUGCUCGUAGCAUGCUUUAUAAUGGGAGACGCCCUGACAUUAAGGAUGACAUUGGCUUCCAAAGGGGAGACAAUGUCAAAAUUAGUGCCCCUCCUAAAAGAUUGUCAAAUUUUGUUAAGGGCAAGGCUCCCAUGCCUCAGGAUAACGAGGGUUACAUUUUAUACUCUGCCGGUUAUCCCGAGGACAAAAUUAGGAAAAUUCAUUCUAGGAAGUCUCACUCUGGUUCUAACCAUGCUUUUAUGUAUAAGAGUGAGACAUCUAGUCCUAGGCAACCAACCCGUGCCAAGUUGCCUAGAAAGAAAACUCCUAAUGCAUCAAAUGAUCAUACUAUUUCAUUUAAAACUGUUGAUGCUUCUUAUGUGCUUACUAACAAAUCCGGCAAGGUUGUUGCCAAGUUUGUUGGGGGCAAACACAAGGGGUCAAAGACUUGUGUUUGGGUACCCAAAGUUCUUGUUUCUAAUGCCAAAGGACCCAAAACCGUUUGGGUACCUAAAGUCAAGAACUAAAAUUGUUUUGUAGGUUUAUGCAUCCGGGGGCUCAAGUUGGAUACUCGACAGCGGGUGCACAAACCACAUGACAGGGGAGAAAAAGAUGUUCUCCUCCUAUGAGAAAAACCAAGAUCCCCAACAAGCUAUCACAUUCGGGGAUGGAAAUCAAGGUUUGGUCAAAGGAUUGAGUAAAAUUGCUAUAUCACCUGACCAUACUAUUUCCAAUGUUUUUUCUUGUUGAUUCAUUAGAUUACAAUUUGCUUUCCGUUUCACAAUUAUGUCAAAUAGGCUACAACUGUCUUUUUACUGAUAUAGGUGUCACUGUCUUUAGAAGAAGUGAUGAUUCAAUUGCAUUUAAGGGAGCGUUAGAGGGUCAGCUAUACCUGGUAGAUUUUGAUAGAGCUGAACUUGACACUUGCUUAAUUGCUAAAACUAACAUGGGUUGGCUCUGGCACCGUCGACUAGCCCAUGUUGGGAUGAAGAAUCUUCAUAAGCUUCUAAAGGGAGAACACAUUUUAGGAUUAACAAAUGUUCAUUUUGAGAAAGACAGGAUUUGUAGCGCAUGCCAGGCAGGGAAGCAAGUUGGAGCCCAUCAUCCACACAAGAACAUCAUGACAACUGACAGGUCACUGGAACUCCUACACAUGGAUCUAUUUGGCCCAAUCGCUUACAUAAGCAUCGGCGGGAGUAAGUACUGUCUAGUUAUUGUGGAUGAUUAUUCUCGCUUCACUUGGGUAUUCUUUUUACAGGAAAAAUCUCAAACCCAAGAAACCUUAAAGGGAUUCUUGAGACGGGCUCAAAAUGAGUUCGGCUUAAGGAUCAAGAAAAUAAGAAGCGACAACGGGACGGAGUUCAAGAACUCUCAAAUUGAAGGCUUCCUUGAGGAGGAGGGCAUCAAGCAUGAGUUCUCCUCUCCCUACACGCCACAACAAAAUGGUGUAGUAGAGAGGAAGAAUAGAACUCUAUUGGACAUGGCAAGAACCAUGCUUGAUGAGUACAAGACUUCGGAUCGGUUUUGGGCCGAGGCGGUCAACACCGCUUGCUACGCCAUCAACCGGUUAUAUCUUCACCGAAUCCUCAAGAAGACAUCGUAUGAACUCCUAACCGGUAAAAAGCCCAAUAUUUCUUAUUUUAGAGUCUUUGGUAGCAAAUGUUUUAUUCUUGUUAAAAGAGGUAGAAAAUCUAAAUUUGCUCCUAAGACUGUAGAAGGUUUUUUUCUUGGUUAUGACUCAAACACAAGGGCAUAUAGAGUCUUUAACAAGUCCACUGGACUAGUUGAAGUCUCAUGUGACGUUGUGUUUGAUGAGACUAACGGCUCUCAAGUAGAGCAAGUUGAUCUUGAUGAGAUAGGUAAUGAAGAGGCUCCGUGCAUCGCGCUAAGGAACAUGUCCAUUGGUGAUGCGUGUCCUAAGGAAUCCGAAGAGCCUCCAAAUGCACAAGAUCAACCAUCCUCCUCCAUGCAAGCAUCUCCACCAACUCAAAUUGAGGAUGAGGCUCAAGAUGUUGAACAAAAAGAUCAAGAAGAUGAGCCACCUUAAAAUGACGGCAACGAUCAAGGGGGAGAUACAAAUGAUCAAGAAAAGGAGGAUGAGCAAGAACCAAGGCCGCCACACCCAAGAGUCCACCAAGCAAUCCAACGAGAUCACCCCGUCGACACCAUCCUCGGCGACAUUCAUAAGGGGGUAACCACUCGAUCUCGGGUUGCACAUUUUUGUGAGCAUUACUCUUUUGUUUCCUCUAUUGAGCCACACAGGGUAGAGGAAGCACUCCAAGAUUCGGAUUGGGUGAUGGCGAUGCAAGAGGAGCUCAACAACUUCACGAGGAACGAGGUAUGGCAUUUAGUUCCACAUCCUAACCAAAAUGUUGUAGGAACCAAGUGGGUCUUCCGCAACAAGCAAGACGAGCAUGGUGUGGUGACAAGGAACAAAGCACGACUUGUGGCCAAGGGAUACUCCCAAGUUGAAGGUUUGGAUUUCGGUGAAACCUAUGCACCCGUAGCUAGGCUUGAGUCAAUUCGCAUAUUAUUGGCCUAUGCUACUUACCAUGGCUUUAAGCUUUAUCAAAUGGACGUGAAAAGUGCCUUCCUCAAUGGACCAAUCAAGGAAGAGGUCUAUGUUGAGCAACCUCCCGGCUUUGAAGAUAGUGAGUACCCUAACCAUGUCUAUAGGCUCUCUAAGGCGCUUUAUGGGCUCAAGCAAGCCCCAAGAGCAUGGUAUGAAUGCCUAAGAGAUUUCCUUAUUGCUAAUGGCUUCAAAGUCGGAAAGGCCGAUCCUACUCUAUUCACUAAAACUCUUGAAAAUGACUUGUUUGUAUGCCAAAUUUAUGUUGAUGAUAUUAUAUUUGGGUCUACUAACGAGUCUACAUGUGAAGAAUUUAGUAGGAUUAUGACACGAAAGUUUGAGAUGUCUAUGAUGGGGGAGUUGAAGUUUUUCUUAGGAUUUCAAGUUAAGCAACUCCAAGAGGGCACCUUCCUAAGCCAAACGAAGUACACUCAAGAUAUUCUAACCAAGUUUGGAAUGAAGGAUGCCAAGCCCAUCAAGACUCCCAUGGGAACAAAUGGGCAUCUCGACCUCGACACGGGAGGUAAGUCUGUGGAUCAAAAGGUAUACCGAUCGAUGAUAGGUUCAUUACUCUAUUUAUGUGCAUCUCGACCGGAUAUUAUGCUUUCCGUUUGCAUGUGUGCAAGAUUCCAAUCCGACCCUAAGGAAUCCCACCUUACGGCCGUAAAACGAAUCUUGAGAUAUUUAGCUUAUACUCCUAAGUUUGGGCUUUGGUACCCUCGGGGAUCCACAUUUGAUUUGAUUGGUUAUUCGGAUGUCGAUUGGGCGGGGUGUAAAAUUAAUAGGAAGAGCACAUCGGGGACUUGCCAGUUCUUGGGGAGAUCCUUGGUGUCUUGGGCUUCAAAGAAGCAAAAUUUGGUCGCUCUUUCCACCGCCGAAGCCGAGUACAUUGCCGCAGGUCAUUGUUGCGCGCAACUACUUUGGAUGAGGCAAACCCUGCGGGACUAUGGUUACAAAUUAACCAAAGUCCCUUUGCUAUGUGAUAAUGAGAGUGCAAUCAAAAUGGCCGACAAUCCUGUCGAGCAUAGCCGCACUAAACACAUAGCCAUCCGGUAUUAUUUUCUUAGGGAUCACCAACAAAAAGGGGAUAUCGAGAUUUCUUACAUUAACACUAAAGAUCAAUUAGCCGAUAUCUUUACCAAGCCUCUUGAUGAACAAACUUUUACCAAACUUAGGCAUGAGCUCAAUAUUCUUGAUUCACGCAACUUCUUUUGCUAGAUUGCACACAUAGCUCAUUUAUAUACUUUUGAUCAUAUCUCUUUUAUAUGCUAUGACUAAUGUGUUUUCAAGUCUAUUUCAAACCAAGUCAUAGGUAUAUUGAAAGGGAAUUGGAGUCUUCGGCGAAGACAAAGGCUUCCACUCCGUAACUCAUCCUUCGCCGUCGCUCCAUGCCACUCUCCAUCCUAGGGGGGAGAAAGCAAAAGGACUUCGUCUUUGGUAUAAUCUUAACUCAUUUAUUUAUGACCAAAGGAGAGGAAAGUACUUCGAGGGCUCUAAUCAUUCCGUUUUUGGCGAUUUAUGCCAAAGGGGGAGACAGUAUGAGCCCAAAGCAAAAGGACCGCACCACCACCAAUUUCAAUACUUAGUGUUUUCCAAGAGUAUUUAUCAAUUGGUAUCCUAUUGUGUUCAAAAGGGGGAGAAAGUAGUAUUUCAAAAAUGAUAUAUCAAAACCCUCUUGAACACUAAGAGGAGGAUCUCAUUUAGGGGAGUUUUGUUUAGUCAAAGGAAAAGCAUUUGAAACAGAGGGAGAAAAUUUCAAAUCUUGAAAAUGCUUUGCAAAAUCUUAUUCAUUUACCCUUGACUAUUUGCAAAAGAACUUUGAAAAGGAUUUACAAAAGAGUUUGCAAAAACAAAACAUGUGGUGCAAGCGUGGUCCAAUAUGUUAAAAAUGAAAGAAACAAUCCAUGCAUAUCUUGUAAGUAUUUAUAUUGGCUCAAUUCCAAGCAACCUUUGCACUUACAUUAUGCAAACUAGUUCAAUUACGCAUCUCUAUACUUGCUUUGGUUUGUGUUGGCAUCAAUCACCAAAAAGGGGGAGAUUGAAAGGGAAUUAGGCUUACACCUAGUUCCUAAAUAAUUUUGGUGGUUGAAUUGCCCAACAUAAAUAAUUGGACUAACUAGUUUGUUCUAGUAUAUAAGUUAUACAGGUGCUAAAGGUUCACACUUAGCCAAUAAAAAGACCAAGAAUUGGGUUCAACAAAAGAGCAAAGGGCCAACCGAAGGCACCUCUGGUCUGGCACACUGGACUGUCCGGUGUGCCACCGGACAUGUCCGGUGCACCAGAGGACUCCAACUGGAACUCGCCACCUUCGGGAAUUUCCAGAGGCACUCGCGCUAUAAUUCACCGGACUGUCCGGUGUACACCGGACAGUGUCCGGUGCGCCAAGGAAGAACGGCCUCAGGAACUCGCCAGCUUCGGGAUUCUCCAACGGCUAGUCCGCUAUAAUUCACCGGACAUGUCCGGUGUACACCGGACUGUCCGGUGAACCAGCAGAGCAACGGAUACUUCGCGCCAACGGUCACCUGCAGGCGCAUUCAAUGCGCACCAGAAGCGCGCAGAAGUCAGACACGCCCAUACUGGUGCACCGGACAAUGAACAGUUCAUGUCCGGUGCGCCACCGGACAUCAAGGCGGGCCCAGAAGUCAGAACUCCAACGGUCAGAUUCCAACGGCACUGGUGACGUGGCUGGAGCACCGGACAUGUCCGGUGUGCACCGGACUGUCCGGUGCGCCAUCGAACAGACAGCCUCCACCAACGGUCAUGUUUGGUGGUUGGGGCUAUAAAUACCCCAACCACCCCACCAUUCAUUGCAUCCAAGUUUUCCACUUCUCAACCACUUACAAGAGCUAGGCAUUCAAUUCUAGACACACCAAAGAGAUCAAAUCCUCUCCAAUUCCACAAAAGGCUUUAGUGAUUAGUGAGAGAGAUUUGCCGUGUUCUUUUGAGCUCUUGCGCUUGGAUUGCUUCUUUUCUUUCUCACUUGCUCUUGUGAUCAACACUCAAUUGUAAUCAAGGCAAGAGGCACCAAUUGUGUGGUGGCCCUUGCGGGGAAGUUUUGUUCCCGGCUUUGAUUUGAGAAGAGAAGCUCACUCGGUCCAAGGGACCGUUUGAGAGAGGGAAGGGUUGAAAGAGACCCGGCCUUUGUGGCCUCCUCAACGGGGAGUAGGUUUGAGAGAACCGAACCUCGGUAAAACAAAUCCGCGUGUCUCACUUGAUUAUUCGCUUGUGAUUUGUUUUCACGCCCUCUCUCGGACUCGUUUAUAUUUCUAACGCUAACCCGGCUUGUAGUUGUGUUUAUAUUUGUAAAUUUCAGUUCCGCCCUAUUCACCCCCCUCUAGGCGACUAUCAGUCACUUUCCCCCGGACACUCCAAGGCUUGGGAGUUCACCUCAAAGAGCUCCACGAGUCAGACACUCCUUUCUUCGGCAUCGUGCCGACUGAAGGAGAAUACCCGCUGGGCCACAUCUACAUGCCGGUCACCUUCGGAACUCCGGAGAACUACAGAACCGAGUUCCUAAGGUUCGAAGUGGCGAACUUCGACUGUGGGUACAACGCCAUCAUCGGGAGGCCUGGAUUGGCAAAAUUCAUGGCCAUUCCGCAUUAUACAUACAUGAUAUUGAAGAUGCCAGGGCCGCAAGGGAUCAUAACUGUGCGCGCUGACUUCCAAGGCGUCGCAGAAUGUUUCCGAGUGGCCAUUCAGGUGGCCCUCAAAACCAAACCAUCGACGACUUCUUCUGCGCAGGCGAACUCAAAGCCUGAGGAAGACCUCGCGGUACCCGCGAAUGAGGCUCAAGCCGCGACCUCUAUGCGGCCGACUGAAGAAACCAAAAGGAUCAACCUUGGGUUCACUGAUGAACGCAAAACCGCCAUCAUCAGCUUUAGUCUGGAUGACAAAUAGGAAGGCGCGCUCGUCCAGUUCCUGCAAGAUAACCAAGACGUAUUCGCAUGGCAACCUGCGGAUAUGCCGGGAGUCCCAAGAGAACUGCCCGAGCACAAAUUGAAGGUCUACCCCUAGGCGAGGCCGAUUCGGCAAAAAAUACAUCGUUUCACGCCCGACAAGAGAGAGGCCAUCCGCGCUGAGCUGGCUCGCUUGGUCGCGGCUGGAUUUAUUAGAGAGGUGUUACAUCCCGAGUGGUUAGCCAACCCUGUUCUUGUACUCAAAAAGAAUAAAGUGGAUUGGCACAUGUGCGUCGACUAUACGGAUCUCAACAAACACUUUCCAAAGGAUCCCUUCGGGCUUCCUAGGAUAGAUCAGGUGGUAGAUUCCACCGCUGGAUGUUCUGUGUUGUCCUUCUUGGAUUGCUACUCUGGGUAUCAUCAGAUUAGCCUGGCGAAAGAAGACGAAGAAAAAACAGCAUUCAUCACUCCAUUCGGAGCUUUCUGCUAUACCUCCAUGCCGUUCGGCCUCAAAAACACUGGAGCGACUUAUCAGAGAGCUAUUCAAACAUGCUUAGCCGAUCACUGGGGCAAGCGUGUGGAAGCUUAUGUGGAUGAUGUGGUGAUCAAAAUAGAAAAUUCAGAAAAUUUCAUUGAAGAUUUACAGCUGGUUUUCAACAGUCUACGGCGAUAUCGAUGGAAGCUUAAUCCCGAAAAAUGUGUUUUCGGUGUGCCAGCAGGAAAGUUACUCGGAUUUAUUAUCAGCCACCGGGGGAUUGAAGCUAAUCCAGAAAAGAUCGAAGCUAUCAUGAGGAUGGAAGCACCACGAUCACAGAAGAAAGUUCAAAGACUCACCGGAUGUAUGGCAGCCCUGAGCAGAUUUAUAUCCAGGCUGGGAGAAAAAGGCUUACCAUUUUAUAAGUUACUCAAGAAGGUGGACAAAUUUUAGUGGACUUCAGAAGCACAGGAAGCCCUAGAUGCAUUGAAAAAGUUCUUGACGACACCGCCAGUGCUGAAACCACCGCAUCGAGCCACGCCGACUCAACCAGCAGAAGAUCUGCUGUUAUAUAUCUCUUGCACGACUCACGUGGUGAGCACCGCGUUGGUAGUCGAGCGAGCAGAAGAAGGACAUGCAUACCCAGCACAGCAUCCUGUUUAUUUCAUCAGUGAAGUUCUGGGUCCCUCGAAGAAGAAAUACCCUCAAGUUCAGAAGCUAUUAUACGCAGUACUUCUAACUGCACGCAAGCUCCGUCACUACUUCGACGACCACAAAGUCAUAGUAGUCACCGGAUUUCCAAUAGGAGAUAUUCUUGACAACAAAGAAGCCAUCGGGAGAAUAACCAAGUGGGCCUGCGAGCUGGGAUCUCAUGACAUUGAAUUUCGACCUCGCACUGCCAUCAAAACUCAAGCACUGGUUGAUUUCGUAUCAGAGUGGACCGAACAACAAGUACCGGAUAACCCAGAAACCGCAGAAGUAUGGCGAAUGUAUUUCGAUGGCUCGUUAAAGCUGCAGGGAGCAGGCACAGGGAUCCUCUUUACUGCACCUGGAGGCGAACAACUCAGAUAUGCCCUUCAGUUGUCAUUUCCAGCCUCUAACAAUGCAGCAGAAUAUGAAGCUCUGAUUCAUGGACUGAACAUUGUUAUAUCACUGGACAUCAAGAGACUGAUGGUAUAUGGAGAUUCUCUGGCGGUCAUAAGUCAGAUAAACAAAGAAUGGGAUUGUUCGAGCGAUUCCAUGGGAAAAUACUGCACUGCUGUCCGGGAACUAGAAGACAAAUUUGAAGGCCUGGAAUUUCACCAUGUAGAGAGAGAUCGAAACACGACAACCGAUGUAUUGUCCAAGCUAGGAUCCAGUCGAACUCAGGUCCCGCCUAGAGUUUUUGUUCAACAAAUAUUACGUCCAAGCAUUUCACUGGAUCGAGCAGAUGAAUGUAAUACUCUGAGCCAACCAGAGUCAGAUUCUGAUGACUGGAGGAGGCCGAUCAUCAAAUAUAUAAAGAAUGAGGAGGAGCCAGAUGACAAGAAUGCAGCCGAGCGCAUCGCGAGACAGUCAGCUCACUAUACACUCAUUGGGGAAACACUAUACAGAAGGGGCGCAUCAGGAGUCCUCAUGAAAUGCAUUCUCUUAGCUACUGGAAAGCAACUUCUAGAUGAGGUCCAUGCUGGGCAAUGUGGAGUACACGCAGCAUCCAGGACCCUGGUUGGGAAGGUCUUCAGGUCAGGUUUUUACUGGCCAACAGCAAAGAGUGAUGCAGCCGAGUUAGUCCAGAGGUGCGAAGCCUGCCAGUACUUGUCAAAACAGCAGCAUCUACCAGCACAGCAGCUGCAGACUAUACCCAUAACCUGGUCGUUCGCAUGCUGGGGAUUGGAUAUGAUUGGACCUUUCAAGAAAGGUCAAGGAGGAUACACUCAUGUACUGGAGGCUAUCGACAAAUUCACUAAAUGGAUAGAGUUCAAACCCAUUGCUUCUCUAACUUUAGCUAAGGCAGUGGAAUUCAUACAAGAUAUAAUAUUCAGGUUCGGGAUAUCGAACAACAUCAUAGCUGACCUAGGAUCCAACUUCACCUGUUCAGAAUUCUUCGAUUUCUGCGAGCAAAAGAGCAUUCAGAUCAAAUAUGCCUCGAUGGCGCACCCAAGAGCCAACGGGCAAGUAGAAAGAGCCAACGAGAUGAUAUUAGAAGCACUCAGAAAGAAAGUCUUCGACAAGAAUGAGAAGUUCGCAGGAAAGUGGAUCAGAGAGUUGUCGUAUGUGGUUUGGAGCCUGAGAACUCAAACUAGCCGAGCUCUGCAUGGAAAUACCCCCUUCUUUAUGGUUUAUGAUUCGGAGGCAGUGCUACCUGCUGAUCUCAAGUUCGGGGCACCGAGGUUAAUCUUUGAAAACAUAGCAGAAGCUGAAGCUACUAGGCUGGAAGACGUUGAUGUACUCGAAGAAGAGCGACUGAAUACGGUGAUUCAAUCAGCGCGAUAUCAGCAAACUCUGAGGCGCUAUCAUGAUAAGGCCAUACGGCGUCUGAAAGUCGCCUAGAGGGGGGGUGAAUAGGGCAAAACUGAAAUUUACAAGGUUAAUCACAACUACAAGCCGGGUUAGCGUUAGAAAUACAAUCAAGUCCGCAAGAGAGGGCACAAAACAAAUCGCAAGUGAAUAAGAAGUGUGACACGUGGAUUUGUUUUACCGAGGUUCGGUUCUUGCAAACCUACUCCCCGUUGAGGUGGUCACAAAGACCGGGUCUCUUUCAACCCUUUCCCUCUCUCAAACGAUCCCUCGGACCAAGUGAGCUUUCUCUUCUCAAAUCAACCGGGAACAAAACUUCCCUGCAAGGACCACCACACAAUUGGUGUCUCUUGCCUCGGUUACAAGUGAGUAUUGAUCUCAAGAAAAGACUGAGAAAGAAGAAAGCAAUCCAAGCGCAAGAGCUCAAAAGAACACAACAAAUCUCUCUCACUAGUCACUAAAGCUUUGGGUGGAAAUGGGAGAGGAUUUGAUCACUUGAGUGUGUCUUGUAUUGAAUGCCUAGCUCUUGUAAGUGGUUGGAAGUGUGAAAACUUGGAUGAUUUGAAUGUGGGGUGGUUGGGGGUAUUUAUAGCCCCAACCACCAAACUAGCCGUUUGGUGGGGCUGUCUGUCGCAUGGUGCACCGGACAGUCCGGUGCACACCGGACAGUGUCCGGUGCGCCAGCCACGUCACCAGGCCAUUGGGUUUCGACCGUUGGAGCUCUGACUUCUGGGCCCGCCUGGAUGUCCGGUGGCACACCGGACAUGCACUGUAGAGUGUCCGGUGCGCCACUUCGCGCGUGCCUGACUUCUGCGCGCUCUGGCGCGCAUUUAAUGCUGUAGCAGGUGACCGUUGGCGCGAAGUAGUCGUUGCUCCGCUGUCUCACCGGACAGUCCGGUGCACACCGGACAUGUCCGGUGAAUUAUAGCGGAGCGAAUUCCCGAAGGUGGCGAGUUCCUGAGACGCUCUUCGUUGGAGCACCGGACAUUGUCCGGUGUACACCGGACAGUCCGGUGAAUUAUAACGGAGCGCCUCUGGAUUUUCCCGAAGGUGAAGAGUUUGGCUUGAAGUCCCCUGGUGCACCGGACACUGUCCGGUGGCACACCGGACAGUCCGGUGCGCCAGACCAGGGCACACUUCGGUUAUCCCUUUGCUCUUUUGUUGAACCCAAUUCUUGGUCUUUUAUUGGCUAAGUGUGAACCUUUAGCACCUGUAUAACUUAUAUACUAGAGCAAACUAGUUAGUCCAAUUAUUUGUGUUGGGCAAUUCAACCACCAAAAUCAAUUAGAAAAUAGGUGUAAGCCU